AUGCGCGCAGAGAAAGAACUCCAGUGCCUGGAAAGAAGCCGAGUUCCGCAGCCGUCACGUCCAGGGUCAUUGCCAAAACCUAACACGCGAUCGCCUCUGGUUUGCUUAGGUGGCAGGGGCAGGCGCGCCGUGUUCAAGGCCACGGUGCCCAGUUGCACCUUUCUGGACAAGGGGUCUUCACCCAGUACAGGAAGGGACGUCACAGGGACGGCUCUCCUGGGGGCUCCAGCUCACUCUGCCAGGCCUUGGGGUCUGUCUGCCUUGGAUCUGUGCACACACGCACUACGGCCCCCCGCGGCCCCAAGCCAUCCCCACCCCGUCCCCACACCCACUCCUGUCCCAGGACCUGCAAAGGCAGGCCGAGAGCCUGGACAUCCCAGCCCCCGGGGCUGGCCCUGCAGCCCGUCGGGGGAGUCCUUGGCCGGCGCCCAUCGCAGCCACCAGGAGAACCUGGCUGCUCCCGCCCAUGCAGGCCGUGGCUCCGGAGCUGUGCAGACAAUCCCCGUGUGUUUCCCCACCUGCCCACCCCGGCUGCCAGGAGCUGGCCCCGUCUUGGAGAUGCUGAAUAGGCCAUUUGUUGGAGAUCAAAAGGCCACCUGCGGGAAGCGCCCCACCGCCUGGAGCAGGCCCAGGCCGCGUCCUGCCCCACGCCCGCCUCCCUGCCCUCGAGAUUCAGGGCUUUUCCAAACAGCCCACCUUGGCGGGGACGUCCCUCCUCCCCCACCUCCUACUCACAUUUCCCUAACCCCACCCAGCCACCUCGCUCCAACAUCUCCCCACCCUCCAGGCCCCCCAUGCCUCCCGGCUGGCUGUUCCCUCGGCUGGGCACACCCUUCCCUGCCCUCCACACCAGGUAAGGCUCAAGCUGCAGGCCAGCCGACACCCUUUCUGCUCAGGCAGGUCAGGGAGCGAGUGUGGUCGUCACCGCUGGCUUGCUUACCUGGUUCUGCUGUGUUACAGGCUCCGGAGGCCGGGGGCUGGCCCCGGGCCUGUGCAGUGCCCCUGAGCCCCAGGCCCCACCCCUGCGUGCGUGGCAGAGAGCACACGGAUGUGCACUGCUCAGAAACACGGGUGCCGGGCUGGCGCGGUGGCGCCCUGGGUAAGCCACGGCUGCGUCAGUGCUGGGCCGAGACCUGGCCACUUUGCUUUGGGUCCAGCUCCCUGCUAAUGCCCCUGGGAAAACAGCGGAAGAUGGUCCAAGUGCUUGGGCUCCUGCACCCACGUGGGAGACCCGGAUGGACCUCCUGGCUCCUGGCUUCAGCCUGGCCCAGAUACGGCCAUUGUAACCAUUGGGGAGUGAACCAGUGGAUGGAAGAUUCAUUCUCUCUCUCUCUCUCUCUCCCCCUCUCCCCUCUCCUCCUAUCUGUAACUCUGCCUUUCAAAUAA
rnacentral:lncRNA from 1 species